rnacentral:lncRNA from 1 species
CAAACCCUUAGCUCUUGAUUUGAAUUGGAUUCGAAUCCGAUUCUUAAUUGAUCUAAUUUGAUUAGAUCAUGUUCUAAUAUGGGUUAGUCAAGAGUUGGCACCUAAUUGGAUUGGUUUUAGUCUAAUUAGAUUAGAUUUAAUAAAUCAUUCAAUCUAGACCGUUAGAUCUUGAUCUACCGUUGGAUGAAGACAUAAUGGAGAGUUGGUUUAACCCAAUUGGAUUGGGUUAGAGGAUGGCUACCAUAAUUGACCAUUGGAUCUUAAUCCCACCAUUGGAUGAAGACAUAAUGGGUCAAGUGAAUGG